AGCAGCCGCGGUAAUUCCAGCUCCAAUAGCGUAUAUUAAAGUUGUUGCAGUUAAAAAGCUCGUAGUUAAAUUUCGGGGUUAGCAGGUCGGUCGUGCCAUCGGUAUGAACUGGUCUCGCUGAUCCCUCCCUCUUGACGAACUGUGAUGCCAUUAAUUUGGUGUCGCAGGGAAUCAGGACUGUUACUUUGAAAAAUUAGAGUGUUUAAAGCAGGCUCACGCUUGAAUACAUUAGCAUGGAAUAAUGAAAUAGGACGUUCGACCCUAUUUUGUUGGUUUCUAGGAUCGACGUAAUGAUUAAUAGGGAUAGUUGGGGGCAUUAGUAUUCAAUUGUCAGAGGUGAAAUUCUUGGAUUUAUUGAAGACUAAACUACUGCGAAAGCAUUUGCCAAGGAUGUUUUCAUUAAUCAAGAACGAAAGUUAGGGGAUCGAAGACGAUCAGAUACCGUCGUAGUCUUAACCAUAAACUAUGCCGACUAGGGAUCGGAUGAUGUUUAAUUUUUUAAUGUACUCAUUCGGUACCG
rnacentral:rRNA from 1 species